rnacentral:sRNA from 1 species
UGGGGGUGGCCGGAGCUCUGGCAUUUGUAGAGAGCGUGGUGACGAGGGGUGGCGAGAGGAAGGCGACGACAUGGUGGUGGUGGUGGUCGUGGCGAGGAUGACACGGUUCUUGUGUGUUACCAUGACUAGUGGGGUGUAGGUGAGGUUUGGUUGGGUCAUGGCCUUU